UGAGGAAUAUUGGUCAAUGGCCGGAAGGCUGAACCAGCCAAGCCGCGUGAAGGACGAAGGUGCCAAGCAUUGUAAACUCUUUGUCAAGGGACAAAAUCAGGCUCGAGAGCCUGACCGAGGGUACUUGAAGAAAAAGCAUCGGCUAACUCCGUGCC
rnacentral:rRNA from 1 species